rnacentral:rRNA from 1 species
AGAGUUUGAUCAUGGCUCAGAUUGAACGCUGGCGGCAGGCUUAACACAUGCAAGUCGAGCGGGGAAAUGUAGCUUGCUACAUACCUAGCGGCGGACGGGUGAGUAAUGCUUAGGAAUCUGCCUAUUAGUGGGGGACAACAUCUCGAAAGGGAUGCUAAUACCGCAUACGUCCUACGGGAGAAAGCAGGGGACCUUCGGGCCUUGCGCUAAUAGAUGAGCCUAAGUCGGAUUAGCUAGUUGGUGGGGUAAAGGCCUACCAAGGCGACGAUCUGUAGCGGGUCUGAGAGGAUGAUCCGCCACACUGGGACUGAGACACGGCCCAGACUCCUACGGGAGGCAGCAGUGGGGAAUAUUGGACAAUGGGGGGAACCCUGAUCCAGCCAUGCCGCGUGUGUGAAGAAGGCCUUUUGGUUGUAGAGCACUUUAAGCGAGGAGGAGGCUACCGAGAUUAAUACUCUUGGAUAGUGGACGUUACUCGCAGAAUAAGCACCGGCUAACUCUGUGCCAGCAGCCGCGGUAAUACAGAGGGUGCAAGCGUUAAUCGGAUUUACUGGGCGUAAAGCGCGCGUAGGUGGCCAAUUAAGUCAAAUGUGAAAUCCCCGAGCUUAACUUGGGAAUUGCAUUCGAUACUGGUUG